rnacentral:rRNA from 1 species
CCUGCUUCUGGAUGAGCCCGCGUCCCAUCAGCUAGUUGGUAGGGUAAUGGCCUACCAAGGCUACGACGGGUAGCUGGUCUAAGAGGAUGGCCAGGCCACACUGGAACUGAGACACGGUCCAGACUCCUACGGGAGGCAGCAGUGGGGAAUCUUGCGCAAUGGGCGAAAGCCUGACGCAGCGACGCCGCGUGGGUGACGAAGGCCUUCGGGUUGUAAAGCCCUGUGGGGUAGAACGAACUGGCAUCGGGCUAAUAUCCCGGUGUCUUGACGGUACUGCCUUAGCAAGCAUCGGCUAACUCUGUGCCAGCAGCCGCGGUAAGACAGAGGAUGCGAACGUUGCUCGGAUUUACUGGGCGUAAAGCGCGUGUAGGCGGUCUCGUUAGUCGGGUGUGAAAGCCCCGGGCUCAACCCGGGAAGUGCACCCGAUACUGCGAGACUGGGGUACUGAAGAGGAGAGCGGAAUUCCCGGU